AGAGUUUGAUCCUGGCUCAGGAUGAACGCUGGCGGCGUGCCUAAUACAUGCAAGUCGAACGCACUGUGGUUCAACUGAUUUGAAGAGCUUGCUCUGAUAUGACGAUGAACAUUGCAGUGAGUGGCGAACGGGUGAGUAACACGUGGGAAACCUACCUCUUAGCGGGGGAUAACAUCUGGAGACAGAUGCUAAUACCGCAUAACACUAGCAACCGCAUGGUUGCUACUUGAAAGAUGGUUCUGCUAUCACUAAGAGAUGGUCCCGCGGCGCAUUAGUUAGUUGGUGAGGUAAUGGCUCACCAAGACGAUGAUGCGUAGCCGAGUUGAGAGACUGAUCGGCCACAAUGGGACUGAGACACGGCCCAUACUCCUACGGGAGGCAGCAGUAGGGAAUCUUCCACAAUGGACGAAAGUCUGAUGGAGCAACGCCGCGUGUGUGAUGAAGGGUUUCGGCUCGUAAAACACUGUUGUAAGAGAAGAAUAGCAUCAAGAGUAACUGCUUGGUGUGUGACGGUAUCUUACCAGAAAGGAACGGCUAAAUACGUGCCAGCAGCCGCGGUAAUACGUAUGUUCCAAGCGUUAUCCGGGAUUUAUUGGGCGUAAAGCGAGCGCAGACGUUUUUUAAGGUCCG
rnacentral:rRNA from 1 species